rnacentral:misc_RNA from 1 species
GUGAAUCAUCGAAUCUUUGAACGCACCUUGCGCUCCUUGGUAUUCCGAGGAGCAUGCCUGUUUGAGUGUCAUGAAAUUCUCAACCCUCCUCACUUUUGUGUGAAGGGCUUGGACUUGGGGGAUUGUUACUGCUGGUCUCUUCUGAUCGGCUCCCCUUGAAUGCAUUAGCCCGGGACCUUUGCCUCCCAGCCAGUUUCACGGUGUGAUAGUCUAUCAACGCCGGUGUUAAUUGGUGUUCAGGUGUGGCAAGACAGCGGUCCGGCUCUCUAACGGACUUUUGAAGUCAACUCUACCCAAUCUGACCUCAAAUCAGGUAGGACUACCCGCUGAACUUAAGCAUAUCAAUAAGCGGAGGA